CCUACGGGAGGCAGCAGUGGGGAAUAUUGCACAAUGGGGGAAACCCUGAUGCAGCGACGCCGCGUGAGUGAAGAAGUAUUUCGGUAUGUAAAGCUCUAUCAGCAGGGGAGGAAAUGACGGUACGUGUUUAAGAAGCCCCGGCUAACUACGUGCCAGCAGCCGCGGUAAUACGUAGGGGGCAAGCGUUAUCCGGAUUUACUGGGUGUAAAGGGAGCGUAGGCGGCAGCACAAGUAUGGAGUGAAAUGCCGGGGCUUAAACCCGGACCUGCUUUGGAAACUGGGGAGCUAGAGUGCAGGGAGGGUAAGUGGAAUUCCUAGUGUAGCGGUGAAAUGCGUAGAUAUUAGGAGGAACACCAGUGGCGAAGGCGGCUUGCUGGACUGUAACUGACGUUGAGGCUCGAAAGCGUGGGGAGCAAACAGGAUUAGAUACCCUUGUAGUC
rnacentral:rRNA from 1 species